GCACUCAUUCCAUUGAUUGGUUUGUUGACUUCAAAUGUUAUUCAAAUUAAUAGCCUAUUAGUAAAAUGAACUAGGUAGCCUACAUAUAACUCCAGAGAUUCUACUGACCGAUUAACAGAGGGACUGGCUUACUUUAAAAGUUAGAUUGAACCAGAAUCUUAAUACCGAGUCAUGAAAAUGUCAAACAAAUAUCACCUGAGCUUUGGUGGAAUUAUUUAAUAAACAGUGAUAGAUGCAUUUCUAAUGUCAGCAGACAGUAAUUAAGAAGAUAAUCAAUAAAAACACCAAGAAUAACAACAUCAAAAGACUACUACUACUACUGCUGCUAGUACUACCACUUUGCUGCCUGCUAUGCGAAGGCAUGAUCAUUUUGCUUUUGCUUUAAGAAUCUACCUGAAUGUGCUGCCACCAUGUGGACACGUUUGGUAAUGCUGGCGCAUAUUGAUGACGUCAUUCACCCGUGGUUCUAGGUUCCGUUGGUCUUCGUGCAUGCAGCUGAGCACAUGGUAAGUCUCUAAUCGUUUGUGCCUUAGACACUUUUUGGACAGAAUUCCACCAACCAGGAGUUAGGGAGAGGGCGACAGCCAUGCUCUGGAUCAUUCCAGAAAGACCUACCUCUGCUGAGCGUCUUGCUGUGAGGCAGAAUUCCGUGUCCUCCAUGGCGAGACGGUACUGUUUGAGACCCGUGUACGCCUCCGCCCGACACAACCUCGCCGCGAUUGCCACCUCCACCGACACCUCCUCGAAAGACCCAACCUCCUCUGAUGCCCCCUUCACCUCCACCAACGCCACCUCCUCUGAUGCCCCUUUCACCUCCACCAACGCCACCUCCUCUGAUGCCCCUUUCACCUCCACCGACGCCACCUCGGAACCUACAGCGAAGCAGAGGGAGGAAGGAGGUGAUUGAUAAGAUGUCGAAAAAACGAAGCCAAUAAUUUAUUUUGAGACAUGAGGUGAUGUGACAAUGAAUAAUGUUCCAGCCAGUUGAAUAAAUCUACAAACUCUUGUCGGAUCAAACGGGUAGG